GCAGAACCAGGAUGAGUCUCACUGCACAGUGAUCUAUCUGCCAACUGAGGAUCUCCUUGGCCCGGGAAGGAUGGCCAAGGAUGGAGGCCUGGAGGAUGUGGGGUCUUCCCUCACCUCUGCAGUAUCCCACAGAAACAGAGGAGCAGGCAGACCAUUGGGCUAAGGAGGCAAGCCUUGAACUUGAAAUCUUCCUGCUUCUGCCUGGCCUAAGAGCAUCCCUGUUUUACACACACUCAAAGAAGCCAGGUGACUUGCCCAAGGCUGCACGGAUUUGGAUCCAGGACUCAGGCUACUGGCUCAGUGGCCUCCAGGAAUUGGGAGGUGCUGUCGCGCCACCCGCCUCGGGCGAUGCCACCGCUGCCAGAAGGAGGUCUUCACUCCCUCGGGCUCCCGCAGUUCCCUGCAGGACCGUGGUGACGGGGGGCGCCCUUGAGUAAUCCAUCUGACAGGUGCAUCCUCCGGAGGCCC
rnacentral:lncRNA from 1 species